CAUCCUGAAAGACGGUACCCAAGCUGUUCACGCAGCCGGACCGAAGCGGAAAGGAAGAUAUG
rnacentral:sRNA from 1 species